rnacentral:tRNA from 1 species
GGGGUUGUGGCUCAGUGGUAGAGCGCUUGCCUAGCAUGCAUGAGGCACUCACUGGGUUCAAUCCCCAGCACCA